GUGAAUCAUCGAAUUUUUGAACGCAAAUUGCGCUUCCUAGCAUCCCGGGAAGUAUGCCUGUUUGAGGGUCAGUUUUAACAAAAAAAUCGGUUUGGUUGCAAAUUGGUACUUUUCCGGAGUUUUUGCUAUCUUAACUUUUUUGGUUAAGGGGCUUAAAAUUUACCUGUUUUGCUCAUUUUUAGACGUACAUAUAUUUUUUUUAUUCGUCUAUUCGUAAUGCCAAAGUCUUAUUAGAUGCGAUCAUAGCGUAUGGUUU
rnacentral:misc_RNA from 1 species